GAAUUACAACUACAAGUGAAACAAAAUGCAGAAGAAUUACAAGACUUUAUGAGGGAUUUAGAAAACUGGGAAAAAGACAUUAAACAAAAGGAUAUGGAACUAAGAAGACAGAAUGGUGUUCCUGAAGAGAAUUUACCUCCUAUUCGAAAUGGGAAUUUUAGGAAAAAGAAAAAAGGCAAAGCUAAAGAGUCUUCCAAAAAAACCAAAGAGGAAAACACAAAAAACAGGAUAAAAUCUUACGAUUAUGAGGCGUGGGCAAAACUUGAUGUGUGUACACCUGUGAAACCACUGUUUGGAUCAAGAUACAGAACAUUCUGGGAGGCUGAGGCACGAGAAUGGCUUGAACCCGGGAGGCGGAGGUUGCAGUGAGCCAAGAUCACACCACUGCACUGCAACCUGGGCCACAGAGGGAGACUCUGU
rnacentral:sRNA from 1 species